rnacentral:rRNA from 1 species
GUGAGGAAUAUUGGUCAAUGGGCGGGAGCCUGAACCAGCCAAGUCGCGUGAAGGAAGAAGGAUCUAUGGUUCGUAAACUUCUUUUGCAGGGGAAUAAAGUGCAGGACGUGUCCUGUUUUGUAUGUACCCUGAGAAUAAGGAUCGGCUAACUCCGUGCCAGCAGCCGCGGUAAUACGGAGGAUCCGAGCGUUAUCCGGAUUUAUUGGGUUUAAAGGGUGCGUAGGUGGUUUGAUAAGUCAGCGGUGAAAGUUUGCAGCUUAACUGUAAAAAUGCCGUUGAAACUGUCGGAGUGGAGUGUAAAUGAGGUAGGCGGAAUGCGUGGUGUAGCGGUGAAAUGCAUAGAUAUCACGCAGAACUCCGAUUGCGAAGGCAGCUUACUAAGCUACAACUGACACUGAAGCACGAAAGCGUGGGGAUCAAACAGGAUUAGAAACCCGAGUAGUCC